rnacentral:rRNA from 1 species
GGCCUACGGGAGGCAGCAGUCGGGAAUUUUGGGCAAUGGGGGAAAGCCUGACCCAGCAACGCCGCGUGAAGGAUGAAAUCCUUCGGGAUGUAAGUUUCGCAAGACCGGGAAGACUAAGUAAGCGUUAAGUGUAGCAGAG